UACGUAGGGUGCAAGCGUUAAUCGGAAUUACUGGGCGUAAAGCGUGCGCAGGCGGUUCGCUAAGACAGAUGUGAAAUCCCCGGGCUUAACCUGGGAACUGCAUUUGCGACUGGCGGGCUAGAGUAUGGCAGAGGGGGGUAGAAUUCCACGUGUAGCAGUGAAAUGCGUAGAGAUGUGGAGGAAUACCGAUGGCGAAGGCAGCCCCCUGGGCCAAUACUGACGCUCAUGCACGAAAGCGUGGGGAGCAAACAGG
rnacentral:rRNA from 1 species